CGAAUGAUGAACCAGAGGAGAGAGUUCACGCAAAUAUGAGGAUGGAAACAGCUGCAGAUGGAUAAAAACAUCUGCAUGGACAGAACCAGGGGAACGGAUGACGACAUGAAAAACCACAUCUUUGUCUUUUUGAGUAAUUAUUGUGUGAACUUUUAGUUUUCUUAUGAUAGUGUUUUGUAGUUAACUCAUGAAACGAUCAUUUAACGGAAAUACAUCAUAGGUCUUUAAACCCUUUUUUGAAUGGAAGCUGGUUUGAAAAGCAGAAAAAAAAGGCAGUUUGACGUCUUUGAGCUUCAGCACGUUGGUGAUAUUAUUCAAUAUGAAGUGAUCUUUUCUUUUGAUUCUGAUUAAAAAAGCUUUGUUUCACAUUUCAUCUGUUUUUGACAAUAUAAUUUUCCAACAUGUAUGUUUAUCUUUGUCUUAAGAGUUUUAACAGGUGAUGUUUGUAUUUCAUCUUCACCUGUUUGUGUUUAAUACAUUUUGUAAUGUUUAAUCUUUUUAUGCAUCAAUAAACUUGCAGCUCUAAGCA